AGAGUUUGAUCCUGGCUCAGAAUCAACGCUGGCGGCGUGCCUAACACAUGCAAGUCGAACGAGAAAGUGGAGCAAUCCAUGAGUACAGUGGCGUACGGGUGAGUAACACGUGACUAACCCACCCUCGAGUGGGGAAUAACCCCGGGAAACCGGGGCUAACACCGCAUAAUACCGCAAGGUCAAAUGCGCAAGCAGCUUGAGGAGGGGGUCGCGGUUGAUUAGCUAGUUGGUGAGGUAAUGGCUCACCAAGGCGAUGAUCAAUAGCCGGCCUGAGAGGGCGCACGGCCACACUGGAACUGAAACACGGUCCAGACUCCUACGGGAGGCAGCAGUAAGGGAUCUUCCGCAAUGGACGCAAGUCUGACGGAGCGACGCCGCGUGCGCGACGAAGCCCUUCGGGGUGUAAAGCGCUUUUCCGGGGGACGAAACAAGACGGUACCCCGGGAAGAAGCCUCGGCUAACUACGUGCCAGCCGCCGCGGUAAAAUCAC
rnacentral:rRNA from 1 species